UAUGGAUGUAGAAGACACAGAAACCUCAAGAAUCUUAUCUGUUCUAAAAUGCCCAGACAAAUAUUGCUAUCAGCUUCUUCAGAGCAGCAGGAGUUUUAUUUUAAUUUCUGAUGAAGGUACAUCUUAAGCACAGAAAAUUGCAUGAUAACAAUGGAGUCUGUACUUGUCUCUCACCUCCUUUCUACCCAUCCAGCCAUUUUGAACUGUAGAAGGUCCCAGAUCAUUGGAUGCUUUAAGAAACUCAAAAAAUAAGGUUUUUUCUCUGUUGACUGCUGGAAAAUGAAGCUGGCAGUUUAUGCUUUCUUAUGAUCUGAUAAAAUCUCAUGAAGCUUGUGGGAUGAGCAUGGCUCUAUACCCCUACUUAAUCCCCAGAAAUAAAGAGAAACUGUGAUCACACCUCCAGAUGUGAACCCCUAAGAAUGAAGUUUCUGGACCUGCAUGUAACUGUCCAAGUCUGGGAUGGUGCACAAAGGCUGGACCCACUGUGCUGCACUGUUCUGCUCCUCCAAAGUCCCAUACCCCUUUGCUCAUGCUGUGCCAAAAUUCCUGCAACUGCACUGUAAGCCAUAAAAAGGAACUGACCCAGUAGAAAAUUACCUUGUCUCUUUAAUUAAUUGCCAGUAGAAAAAUACAGUAUCUGGGACAGGGAAAAGGGUGUGAUUUCCUUCUUUUUAGGGACUUUGUCAGGAAACAACAGCUAACCUAUGGAGGCAUGUCUCUGGAGCCACCUGUGUGGGCAAUAGAGAGCGUGAUGACUACCAUCAGCUGCCAUUGGAUGGAGUUUCCCUCUUUUCAUCCCAGCCUCUCAGUUUAAGCAACUGGGUUUGUUACUUGUGUGAUAUGAAUACACACCCAGAGUUACAUGAUUAAUCGCAAUCUCCCCACCUAUCUUUUUUAAACUUCAGUCUGAGCUUUGCCUACAUAUGUCUUGUAACCAUAAUGAUACUUGCUAAAUAAAUGUUAGAAAUAGGGAAAGUGUAUCUCCAAAAAAUAGAGCUUAAAGCCAGAAGAAACCAUUACAAGCUUUGUUUUGUCUUUCUGCAUAAUUCUGCCCACAGAACACUCAGUACUAGCUGUGCCAGGCUAUAACUGCUGUGUGAAGAUAGUAUAUCUUUCUGAAGAUGUCUGUCUUGAUUUAAACACUUCCAAUGUUGAAGGAUUCACUGCACUCCUAGAUGACUCUCAGGCAUCACAGCUGCCUGCAGAUUUCUUAGGACUCUAGUGGAAGAGAACUUGGAAGCUGAUUGCUUGACUCAGAGACAAACAAAUCUAUGAGAUACAAAGAGUUGCUACAGAGACAAGAAUGAGACACUGAGAGACUUUUGGUCUCACAAAAAGAAAUAGCUGAUCAGGGUUUCACAGAGGGCACUGUGAUGUGCCUGUCUGAUAUGCAUGACCUUGUGUUAGAGAUACUUCUGAAAGUGUUUGUGCUGCUAUUUACUGGGUAUCAAAUUAUGUAUAUGUGCUUAUUAAGAGAAUAACAUGUGAGUUUGCCUAUAAUCAUUGUAGCUAAUAUUGUUAUGCCUCAAACAAGAGUAAAUGUAAAUCUUUCUCAAUA